UACGUAGGGGGCAAGCGUUAUCCGGAUUUACUGGGGUGUAAAGGGAGCGCAGACGGAACUGCAAGUCUGAUGUGAAAGCCCGGGGCUCAACCGCGGGACUGCAUUGGAAACUGUAGAUCUGGAGUGCCGGAGGGGCAAGCUGAAUUCCUGGUGUAGCGGUGAAAUGCGUAGAUAUCAGGAGGAACACCGGCGGCGAAGGCGGCUUACUGGACUGUAACUGACGCUGAGUCACGAAAGCGUGGGUAGCAAACAGGAUUAGAUACCCCCGUAGU
rnacentral:rRNA from 1 species